rfam:Takifugu rubripes genomic scaffold, scaffold_8819
GUUUACGGCCAUACCACCCUGAGAACGCCCGAUCUCGUCCGAUCUCGGAAGCUAAGCAGGGUUGGGCCUGGUUAGUACUUGGAUGGGAGACCGCCUGGGAAUACCAGGUGCUGUAAGCG